CCCUGAGCUCUGGGCGUCAGCCUGUUGGCCCAGCCGAAAGGCUGCCGGGGGAAGUUUGGCUGAAAAAAACGUAGAGUUGAGGGAACUGAUUUUUUUUUUUUUCAGCCACAGAGUCGUAAACAUAAACUAGAAGAUGCAUCCCUUCCUUCACGGGAGACCAUCAAAAACACAGUACAAGUUUAUGGAGGGAAUGUGUCUUUCUUACACGAGAUAUUUUCCCCCAAACACUUGGCAGGUGAAACCACUCCAUUCCAGAGGAAAAGAAAAAAGAGAAUGGCUACAGGACUGCAAUAAGUGAGCCGUGUCACAGCCAGCCACCACAACAAGCCAGACAGAGGUCUGGAGCUGCUGCAGCCAUCCUGCUAUUAUCAGGCAACGAACAUGAAGACAAAGACUUUCACACUAAAGUUGGCAGAGGGGAGCCUGGAGCCUGGAGCUUCCGCACCAGCCAUGGACUGCCCACUCCUGAACUGCUUGCUGUAUGGAACAAAUACCUUCCUGCCCCCUUUGUGUCUUAGGACAGUGUUUUUUAGGUUAUCUCGUAUAGCCAUAUGCAUCCUUAAUUGUUAUACCACCCUCCCCCAGUUAGAAAUGCUGAGCCUAUGCAGAAAAGGAUCUCUCGGGGUGACUGGGUGACUCAGUCAGUUAAGCGUCUGACUCUUGAUUUCAGCUCAGGUCAUGGUCUCACAGUCACGAGAUUGAGUCCCGGGUC